UACAAGUACCCGUGAGGGAAAGUUGAAAAGCACUUUGAAGAGAGAGUUAAAGAGGACGUGAAACCGGUAGGAUGGAAACGGAUAGAGCUAGCGAAGUCGUUCGUAUUCAGCCAAAGGCUCGUGGUCGCCUGCUGUCGAGUUGCUAAUCCCGCUCGGCGGUAGUCCGGCUGCGGGCUGAGGUGCAUUUGCGGGCGUAUGCGCUGAGACUUGUGGGGCAGCUGCUGGACCCGUGUUCUAGAGGCCUCCCUCUGGGAGGAACCUGGUCGCGGCGACGGUUGUUUGCCCUGCUCGUAUGGGUACGGCCAACGGACCUUGCCUGUGCCGUUGUUCCCUUGCGGUGGUAUCGCAUGCGAUGCCUAGCCUGGGGGCAGCGGUUCGGUCCGGUGUUCCCGUUUCCCGCUCUCGGUGUAGAAGCUGGUCAUCUCUCCGACCCGUCUUGAAACACGGACCAAGGAGUUUAGCGUAUGCGCGAGUCAUUGGGUGCGAAAACCCACAGGCGAAAUGAAAGUAAAGGCCCGGUCGCUGGGCUGACAUGCGAGUGCUGGGGCCUCGGCCCCGGCAUGCAGCAUGGUCCCGUUCCGGUCGCUUGCGACGGAGCGGAGACAGAGCGUAUGCGCUGAGACCCGAAAGAUGGUGAACUAUUCCUGAGCAGGACGAAGCCAGAGGAAACUCUGGUGGAAGUCCGAAGCGAUUCUGACGUGCAAAUCGAUCGUCUGACUUGGGUAUAGGGGCGAAAGACUAAUCGAACCAUCUAGUAGCUGUUU
rnacentral:rRNA from 1 species